GGCAGCGGGAGCCCGGCUCCCGUGCCCGGGACGUGCGUUUCGGCUUCGCCGGAGCGGAUCAACGGGCAUGAGGAAAGUCCCCCCACCGUCCGGGCAGGCGACCGGGCACAAGCCCGGGGCGGGAGACCGCCGGCACUGGAACAGAAACGAGACCACUCGCCCCGACCGAUGAGGUGUGCGACCCCGAAGUGAGAAAGUGCGGUCGAUCCCCGCCGCAAGGCGGCCGAUCGAGCGGGCGAACAAACGACGGAAAGCUAACCCACCGAGGGCGCGUCGCUACGUGGGGCCCGACGGGACCCACGCCCACGACGAACUGGGCGCGCCAUCCGGCGCGUCGACGGGCGAGAACGGAUGGAACGGCGAAUCCUCGCCGGUGCAAGUCCGCGUGACUGGUAGUCCGGACACGACGCGGACGCGUAGCCGAAUGCCGACAACAGAAGGGGGCUUACUCCCCGCAGCC
rnacentral:RNase_P_RNA from 2 species